AUAAGCUCUAUAGAUCGACAAUGGCGAGCGAGCAGUGUUCACAUAUGCAAAUUUAAAAGUAUCUGCGCCAUUACUAGGCCUGUCUGGACCAUGCUCGUUGCUAAAGCGAAAGGGAUGCACAUGGGAACCUGAAGGUUUUUCUUGUUUGAUAUGGUUAACUCUUAGCUCACCACCAGAGAAUAUGAAGACAACCCGUGCUAAGGCGACGAGAGGCUGGGAAAAGUGUGUAUAGUAACUGUCGUGUAAGUUUGCAAGUCAUUGCUUUAGCUGUGUGCUGUAGUUUCUGGUUUUCAGUUUGAUACUGACCAUGGUGCAGCCCUUUGAAAGGCAAUUCACGUGAGCGUGUCAGGGAAAGUGAGUUUGGUCGCCAUUUAAGAGAGCUGAUGGGUGGUCCUUCCUGCAUUACUCGUCGUAAACAGGUACUGUUUUGACGCUGUUUGGAUUUCUAGUGAUUCCUGUUUUGCUUUCCUAUCUAAGCAAAUCUGGCUGUCUCAUUCAG